rnacentral:rRNA from 1 species
UGGGCGGCCAGAAGGGAACCUUCUUCCCCGGAUUUUAACGGCGGGACCGGUGAGGUAACACCGUGGGUAACCUGCCCUGUAAGACUGGGAUAAUUCCGGGAAACCGGGAGUUAAUACCGGAUAGUUCCUUGAACCGCAUGGUUCAAGGAUGAAAGACGGUUUCGGCUGUCACUUACAGAAGGACCCGGGGGCGCAUUAGCUAGUUGGUGAGGUAACGGCUCACCAAGGCGACGAUGCGUAGCCGACCUGAGAGGGUGAUCGGCCACACUGGGACUGAGACACGGCCCAGACUCCUACGGGAGGCAGCAGUAGGGAAUCUUCCGCAAUGGACGAAAGUCUGACGGAGCAACGCCGCGUGAGUGAUGAAGGUUUUCGGAUCGUAAAGCUCUGUUGUUAGGGAAGAACAAGUGCAAGAGUAACUGCUUGCACCUUGACGGUACCUAACCAGAAAGCCACGGCUAACUACGUGCCAGCAGCCGCGGUAAUACGUAGGUGGCAAGCGUUGUCCGGAAUUAUUGGGCGUAAAGGGCUCGCAGGCGGUUUCUUAAGUCUGAUGUGAAAGCCCCCGGCUCAACCGGGGAGGGUCAUUGGAAACUGGGAAACUUGAGUGCAGAAGAGGAGAGUGGAAUUCCACGUGUAGCGGUGAAAUGCGUAGAGAUGUGGAGGAACACCAGUGGCGAAGGCGACUCUCUGGUCUGUAACUGACGCUGAGGAGCGAAAGCGUGGGGAGCGAACAGGAUUAGAUACCCUGGUAGUCCACGCCGUAAACGAUGAGUGCUAAGUGUUAGGGGGUUUCCGCCCCUUAGUGCUGCAGCUAACGCAUUAAGCACUCCGCCUGGGGAGUACGGUCGCAAGACUGAAACUCAAAGGAAUUGACGGGGGCCCGCACAAGCGGUGGAGCAUGUGGUUUAAUUCGAAGCAACGCGAAGAACCUUACCAGGUCUUGACAUCCUCUGACAACCCUAGAGAUAGGGCUUUCCCUUCGGGGACAGAGUGACAGGUGGUGCAUGGUUGUCGUCAGCUCGUGUCGUGAGAUGUUGGGUUAAGUCCCGCAACGAGCGCAACCCUUGAUCUUAGUUGCCAGCAUUCAGUUGGGCACUCUAAGGUGACUGCCGGUGACAAACCGGAGGAAGGUGGGGAUGACGUCAAAUCAUCAUGCCCCUUAUGACCUGGGCUACACACGUGCUACAAUGGACAAGAACAAAGGGCUGCGAGACCGCAAGGUUUAGCCAAUCCCACAAAUCUGUUCUCCAGUCGGAACGCAGUCUUGAACCUCAACUGCGUGAAACUUGGAAUCCCUAGAAAUCCCGGGAUCAACUUGCCCCGGGUGAAUACUUUCCCGGGGGGCUUUUUGUACCACCCGCACAAAGGG